rnacentral:rRNA from 1 species
GACGAACGCUGGCGGCGUGCCUAAUACAUGCAAGUAGAACGCUGAAGCGAGGAGCUUGCUCUUCUUGGAUGAGUUGCGAACGGGUGAGUAACGCGUAGGUAACCUGCCUUGUAGCGGGGGAUAACUAUUGGAAACGAUAGCUAAUACCGCAUAACAAUGGAUGACACAUGUCAUUUAUUUGAAAGGGGCAAUUGCUCCACUACAAGAUGGACCUGCGUUGUAUUAGCUAGUAGGUGAGGUAAUGGCUCACCUAGGCGACGAUACAUAGCCGACCUGAGAGGGUGAUCGGCCACCCUGGGACUGAGACACGGCCCAGACUCCUACGGGAGGCAGCAGUAGGGAAUCUUCGGCAAUGGGGGCAAACCUGACCGAGAAACGCCGCGGGAGUGAAGAAGGUUGUCGGGUCGUAAAGCUCUGUUGUAAGUCAAGAACGGGUGUGAGAGUGGAAAGUUCACACUGUGACGGUAGCUGACCAGAAAGGGACGGCUAACUACGUG